GACGAACGCUGGCGGCGUGCUUAACACAUGCAAGUCGAACGGAAAGGCCCUGCUUGCCGGGUACUCGAGUGGCGAACGGGUGAGUAACACGUGGGUGAUCUGCCCUGCACUUCGGGAUAAGCCUGGGAAACUGGGUCUAAUACAGGAUAGGAGCCAUUUUUAGUGUGAUGGUUGGAAAGUUUUUUCGGUGUUGGAUGAGAUCGCGGCCUAUCAGCUUGUUGGUGGGGUAAUGGCCUACCAAGGCGGCGACGGGUAGCCGGCCUGUGGGGGUGGACGGCCAUAUUGGGACUUAGAGACGGCCCAGACUCCGACGGGAGGCAGCAGGGGGGAAUAUUGCACAAUGGGCGCAAGCCUGAUGCAGCGACGCCGCGUGGGGGAUGACGGCCUUCGUGUUGUAAACUCCUUUCGCUAGGGACGAAGCUUUUUGUGACGGUACCUAGAUAAGAAGCACCGGCUAACUACGUG
rnacentral:rRNA from 1 species